AUGGUUCUAGAGAGGACCAAAGCUGGGGUAUUGAGUCCAGGAGUGUCCAAAGAAGUGUCUGAACUAACGGGUAUACCUCAGCGGACAGUGCAAAACUGGUGGAAGAAAUGUAAGGAAGCUGGUGGAAUACACGCACUAGAAAACAAACGGGCAAAAAACUGUGGCCGCAAGAGGAUAGAAUUCGAUCCGGAGGCUAUCAAACAAGUGGAUUUGAGGAAAAGAACAACUCUUAAAGAUUUGGCAAAUGAGUUGCACAUGGCGAAGACGACACUAUGGCGUCGUUUGAAGGAGGGCCUGUUGAGGCGUCACACAAAUGCCAUCAAAUCGACAUUGACGGAUGAAAACAAGGUAGGACGGGUAAGGUUUUGCUUGUCAAUGUUUGAUGAGCAUACUCUUCCUCAGGAUCCCAAAUUCAAAGAGAUGUACAACGUCAUUCACAUUGAAGAGAAAUGGUUCUACCGUUCCCGCGGUAGCCAGAAUUACUAUUUGGCGAACGAUGAAGAAGAUCCAUACCGUAGCACGCAAAGCAAAAAUUUCAUUGAGAAGGUGAUGUUUUUGGCCGCGGUCGCUCGGCCACGCUUUGAUGCGAAUGGCACGAUGAUUUUUGAUGGAAAACUUGGGAUUUGGCCCUUCACAUACCAAGAAGCGGCAAAGAGAAAAAGCAAGAACAGAGAUGUUGGAACCAUGGUCACCAAAGUACUCCCUGCGGUUACUCAAAAUGUAGUCUGGGAGUACAUGAUUAAUUUUCUUAUUCCCGCGAUAAGGGCGAGAUGGCCUGCGGCUGAGCGUGGCAUGCCAAUAUAUGUAUAG
rnacentral:rRNA from 1 species